rnacentral:rRNA from 1 species
GCCAAGUCGUAAAUAUCAACCCACAACAACAAACGCCAGGGUAUUACGAGCCUAGCUUAAAACCCAAAGGACUUGACGGUGUCCCACCCAACUAGAGGAGCCUGUUUUAUAAUCGAUGAUCCACGCUACACCUAACCAUUUUUUGCCUUUCAGCCUGUAUACCUCCGUCGCAAGCCUACCAUAUUAAUGAACUAUAGUAGACCCAACAGCCUAAACGCUAUAACGUCAGGUCAAGGUGCAGCUUAUAAAAUGGAAACAAUGGGCUACAAUUUCUAAUAUAGAACAAACGAAUUGCUACAUGAAACAUAGUCAUGAAGGCGGAUUUAGCAGUAAACAGGGAAUAAAAAGCCCUAUUAAAUCUGACCCUGGGACGUGUACAAACCGCCCGUCACCCUCUUCAAUUGCCGUUACCUAGUUCAUAACCUAUCAUAGCUUCUUAGAAGAGGCAAGUCGUAACAUGGUAAGUGUACUGGAAAGUGCACUUGGUAUAACAAAAUGUAGCUUAAUAAAGCCUCUCGCUUACACCGAGAAGUUAUCUGUGUAAACCGGAUCACUUUGAGCCAAAAAUCUAGCCUAUUAUACACCUCACCUAAUUUACACCAAAUAAAACAUUUUAAUUCUAUAGUAAAGGCGAUCAAAAUAACACUUAGCGCUUAAGAUAAAGUACCGCAAGGGAAAGUUGAAAUAAAAUGAAAUACCUCAAGCCAACAACAGCAGAGACUUCAACUCG